UAGAAGGAAGGACGCUCUGCUUUCCCCUCUGCUUGCCUGGAGGGGAGGGGUUUUCUCUGCUCUUUGUUCCGUUUGAGCAAACACAGUAACGAAACAGAAGAGGGUGGGCAGUAAGACCCUGAGGCAGAAUGCAGGAAAGCAACAGCUUUCUCUCUCGGGAGGCUCAAACGCACGUGUGGCUGCCUGCAAUCAGUUUACCACACCGAGAAUGAAGAUAAACUGGUAAAAUAAGGGGGCUGGGUUAAAGCUAAAGGGAAAACCUCAAAGAUCCCUCAAGAACAAGGCAGGGGUUCAGGGGUCCCAAAGCCGAGCUGCAGCCUUAGAAGGGAAAAAUGGGGCUUUCGGAGGUGCUUUUUACUGCCCUGCUGCUUCCAAUUUAUAAAAGGCAAAUUGCGGGAGAAG